AGCCAUGGAAGCCAGAAGCUGAAAUCAAUGAAACCUGGAGAGAAGGGAGAGACCAAAAGAUGCAGCCAUGUGCCUUGCCAAGUGCCUUGCCAAGUGGGAGAGGAGCAAAGGAUCGCUGGCAGCCAGUCUUUGGGAAGAAAGCACCACCUUGAUGAUGCCUUGAUUUGGACAUCUUUUCUGCCUUAAAACUGCUUUUCACCUGGAAGGAGGAAGGAGAAAUGAAAAAAGAACUAAAACAUUAAGUUUAAGCAGCUUUUGAAAACAAGAGAAUCCAGGAAUUAACUUUACCUAUAUUCUCCUGUUCCCAUUUAUUACAAAGGGCUGCAGGAUUUUAAGCAAAGCUUUUCCUGAGGAGUUCAACGAAGUUGCCAGUACGUUUCCAGAGGAGUUCAUCGAACAUGUUCGUCGAAGAUUCCAGUUCAUUUCCUGAGGAGUUCUUCAAAGUUGCCAGUUCGUUUCCUGAGGAGUUCAUCGGACACCUUCCUUGGAGUUGACAGUUUGCUGACUGCCCUACGGAAUGUGGACUCGUGCAUACACACAGUUGCAUAAGUCACUUUUAUAAAUCUUAUAUUCAUAGAUAUGUCUCAUUCAUUCUGUUUCC